GAUGAACGCUGGCGGCGUGCCUAAUACAUGCAAGUCGAACGCGCAGCGAAAGGUGCUUGCACCUUUCAAGCGAGUGGCGAACGGGUGAGUAACACGUGGAUAACCUGCCUCAAGGCUGGGGAUAACAUUUGGAAACAGAUGCUAAUACCGAAUAAAACUUAGUAUCGCAUGAUACAAAGUUAAAAGGCGCUACGGCGUCACCUAGAGAUGGAUCCGCGGUGCAUUAGUUAGUUGGUGGGGUAAAGGCUUACCAAGACGAUGAUGCAUAGCCGAGUGGAGGGACAGAUCGGCCAGAUUGGGACUGAGAACCGGCCCAAACUCCGACGGGAGGCUGCAGUAGGGAAUCUUCCACGAUGGGCGCGAGCCUGAUGGAGCAACGCCGCGUGUGUGAUGAAGGCUUUCGGGUCGUAAAGCACUGUUGUAUGGGAAGAAAUGCUAAAAUAGGGAAUGAUUUUAGUUUGACGGUACCAUACCAGAAAGGGACGGCUAAAUACGUGCCAGCCGCCGCGGUAA
rnacentral:rRNA from 1 species